rnacentral:rRNA from 1 species
UACGUAGGGUGCAAGCGUUGUCCGGAAUUAUUGGGCGUAAAGAGCUCGUAGGCGGUUUGUCGCGUCUGCUGUGAAAGCUCGGGGCUUAACUCCGGGCCUGCAGUGGGUACGGGCAGACUAGAGUGCGGUAGGGGAGACUGGAAUUCCUGGUGUAGCGGUGAAAUGCGCAGAUAUCAGGAGGAACACCGGUGGCGAAGGCGGCGACCUGGGUCGAUACUGACGCUGAGGUGCGAAAGCGUGGGGAGCAAACAGG